rnacentral:tRNA from 1 species
GCGGAUAUGGCGGAAUUGGUAUACGCGUAGGCUUGAGGGGUCUAUGAGCGAAUGCUCGUGCAGGUUCGAGUCCUGUUAUCCGCA